UCUGGAAACCAUAGAGCUGUGGCACCACCUGAUUCCAUUCCGAACUCAGAAGUGAAACACAGUAUCGCCGAUGGUAGUUUGGGGUCUCCCCCAUGCGAGAGUAGGUCAUUUCCAGGC
rnacentral:rRNA from 1 species